rnacentral:rRNA from 1 species
UCGAGCGAAGCACUUUUUUAGAACUCUUCGGAGGGAAGAGAGGGUGACUUAUCGGCGGACGGGUGAGUAACGCGUGGGCAACCUGCCUUACACAGGGGGAUAACAAUUAGAAAUGAUUGCUAAUACCGCAUAAGACCCCAGUACCGCAUGGUACAGGGGUAAAAACUGAGGUGGUGUAAGAUGGGCCCGCGUCUGAUUAGGUAGUUGGUGGGGUAGAAGCCUACCAAGCCGACGAUCAGUAGCCGACCUGAGAGGGCGACCGGCCACAUUGGGACUGAGACACGGCCCAAACUCCUACGGGAGGCAGCAGUGGGGAAUAUUGCACAAUGGGGGAAACCCUGAUGCAGCGACGCCGCGUGAGUGAGGAAGUAUUUCGGUAUGUAAAGCUCUAUCAGCAGGGAAGAAAAUGACGGUACCUGACUAAGAAGCCCCGGCUAACUACGUGCCAGCAGCCGCGGUAAUACGUAGGGGGCAAGCGUUAUCCGGAUUUACUGGGUGUAAAGGGAGCGUAGACGGAAUUGCAAGUCUGAUGUGAAAAUCCGGGGCCCAACCCCGGAACUGCAUUGGAAACUGUAUUUCUAGAGUGUCGGAGAGGCAAGUGGAAUUCCUGGUGUAGCGGUGAAAUGCGUAGAUAUCAGGAGGAACACCAGUGGCGAAGGCGGCUUGCUGGACGAUGACUGACGUUGAGGCUCGAAAGCGUGGGGAGCAAACAGGAUUAGAUACCCUGGUAGUCCACGCCGUANACGAUGACUACUAGGUGUCGGGAGGCAANGCCUUUCGGUGCCGCAGCCAACGCAAUAAGUAG